rnacentral:lncRNA from 1 species
CAUAAUUUAAACAGAUUCACCGGCACUUAACCUGCUAGGUUUUAAAACCUGAUUCAGUACACCGACUCUUAGCCUGCUAGACCUAUAGUCCGAAAUGUAUCACCGGCAUUAAGCCUGCUAGACGUAAAGUCUGAAUUAUUUCACCGGCAUUAAGCCUGCUAGGCACAUAGCCUGAAUAACUGAGAUACAAAGUUAAUCUUUCAUAUAAA